AGUCACUGACAUUAGAUACCCCCGUAGUCCCAGCCGUAAACAAUGUGCGUUAGGUGUGUCGGUAACCACGCGUUACUGAUGCGCCGAAGAGAAAUCGUGAAACGCACCACCUGGGAAGUACGGUCGCAAGGCUGAAACUUAAAGGAAUUAGCGGGGGAGCACCACAACGGGUGGAGCCUGCGGUUUAAUUGGACUCAACGCCGGGAAGCUCACCGGAUAGGACAGCGGAAUGAUAGCCGGGCUGAAGACCUUGCUUGACCAGCUG
rnacentral:rRNA from 1 species